rnacentral:misc_RNA from 1 species
UCUCGCCGAGUGGGAUUGUAGUCAACGGAGUGGACUUCGCGGGUGUGCUCUUGGAGGGAUGGGGAAGGGAAGGGGAUGGAGGGAGAGCGGUGUCGAAGAGCUUAACGGAGCCGUCAGCGACAGCGGCGACUAAGAGAGAAUCGUGGGAUUCAGACCAGGCGAGAUCGUAGACACCGUCAGCUGUGUCGAAGGCGACGAGUUCAGAGAGGGGAAGGGAAGGGGAUGGAGGGAGAGCGAGGACAUGGACACGGCCGUUUCCGAGGAUGCCGAAGUUCUGGGCAGUGGCGACAGCGAGUCGCGAUUCGUAGAAGGGGCUGAAUUUAACGGAGUAGCCGUUGAAUGGCGUUUUGAAGAUUGGCAUUGCGUCGGAGGAUUUGGUGGGAAUGGGUGUAGUGAUGUAUCAUCCGGUUGCCGCCGCUGAGGACGCUUCUCCAGACU